rnacentral:rRNA from 1 species
CCUACGGGUGGCAGCAGUGAGGAAUAUUGCACAAUGGGCGAAACCCUGAUGCAGCAAAGCCGCGUGAGUGAAGAAGGCUCUCGGUGUGUAAAGCUCUAUCAGCAAGGGAGAAAAUGACGGUACCUGAGUAAGAAGCCCCGGCUAACUAGUUGCCAGCAGCAGCGGUAAUACGGAGGGAGCAGGCGUUAUCCGGAUUUACUGGGUGUAAAGGGGGCGUAGACGGUGAGACAAGUCUGACGUGAAAGUCCGGGGCUCAACCGCGGGACUGCAAUGGAAACUGCCUGACUGGAGUGCUGGCGAGGCAAGCGGAAUUCGUGGUGUAGCGGUGAAAUGCGGAGAUAUCAGGAAGAACCCCAGUGGCGAAGGCGGCUUGCUGGACAGUAACUGACGUUGAGGCUCGAAAGUGUGGGGAUCAAACAGGAUUAGAUACCCUAGUAGUC